rnacentral:tRNA from 4 species
UCGAAAUCGGUAGACGCUACGGACUUGAAAAUCCGUUGGCUUUAUUGACCGUGAGGGUUCAAGUCCCUCUACCCCCA